rnacentral:rRNA from 1 species
AAUAGAUACCCCGGUAGUCCACGCCGUAAACGAUGUCGACUUGGAGGUUGUGCCCUUGAGGCGUGGCUUCCGGAGCUAACGCGUUAAGUCGACCGCCUGGGGAGUACGGCCGCAAGGUUAAAACUCAAAUGAAUUGACGGGGGCCCGCACAAGCGGUGGAGCAUGUGGUUUAAUUCGAUGCAACGCGAAGAACCUUACCUACUCUUGACAUCCAGAGAACUUAGCAGAGAUGCUUUGGUGCCUUCGGGAACUCUGAGACAGGUGCUGCAUGGCUGUCGUCAGCUCGUGUUGUGAAAUGUUGGGUUAAGUCCCGCAACGAGCGCAACCCUUAUCCUUUGUUGCCAGCGGUUCGGCCGGGAACUCAAAGGAGACUGCCAGUGAUAAACUGGAGGAAGGUGGGGAUGACGUCAAGUCAUCAUGGCCCCUACGAGUAGGGCUACACACGUGCUACAAUGGCGUAUACAAAGAGAAGCGACCUCGCGAGAGCAAGCGGACCUCAUAAAGUACGUCGUAGUCCGGAUUGGAGUCUGC